AUGAGCCUAUCCGACGGCCACGAUAUACUUUUCACGCGCGAGCCAGCGCGUAUACGUACGGUCAAAAAAUACGUAGGCGCGUACCUCCCUCUCGUUGUACAUGGGGAUUUGGACGAGCACCAUGGGGCGACGCGGCCGGCCUCCUCGUCGUCGUCGUCGUCGUCGGCGCCGGCGCCGGCGCCGAGCGGGGUCGCGCGGUACCGCCGGUCGGGGCGGCGGCGGGCGAAGCAGGCGGCGGCCAUGAGCACGGCGUCAGCGAGGAGCAUGGCGGAGAGCGCCAGGCACGCGGCGGACGCGGCCGCGAGCGCCGGCGCCACGGCCGACGCGCGCGCCGCGCCCCACGCCGCCACCAGCUCGGCGGACGACGGCCACCGCAGCAGCAGCAGGAGGAGGGACUCGCCGCCUCGCCACCGCACCGCCGCUGCGGCGGCGGCGGUGGGCCCGUCGGCGCCGGCUAUGGCCAUGGCCCCCGCGCUCGUGUGCUCACUGCUCGCGACUGCCUUUUUAGCCUGUCGUCGGCUCUGGUUGCAGCUGCAGCUGCUUUUCUGUGCGCUUCGGUGCGCCCAGGGCGCCUUUUCACCUUUUUAUUUUGGGUGUACUUUAACGAUGAGUCGAAGAUGGAUUCUAAUCUUCCAGGAUGACUACCCAUUUAUAUUUAUUGUAUAUCAAUUAAAUAGUUAUAUUUUUUCUUAAAAAAAUAUAA
rnacentral:lncRNA from 1 species